GAGCACACCGCUCGGGCCAACAUGUCUUACAAGCAGGGGGUCGCUGGUUCGAACCCAGCUGCGCCCACCA
rnacentral:tRNA from 1 species